GGGUCAGUAGGUUGGUCGUGCCACCGGUACGUACUGGUCUCACUGAUUCCUCCUUCCUGAACAACCGUAAUGCCAUUAAUUUGGUGUUGCGGGGAAACAGGACGGUUACUUUGAAAAAAUUAGAGUGUUUAAAGCAAGCUAUCGCUUGAAUACAUUAGCAUGGAAUAAUGAAAUAGGACGAUCGAUCCUAUUUUGUUGGUUUCUAGGAUUGACGUA
rnacentral:rRNA from 1 species